AAGGGAGCUUGCUCCUGGAUUCAGCGGCGGACGGGUGAGUAAUGCCUAGGAAUCUGCCUGGUAGUGGGGGAUAACGUCCGGAAACGGGCGCUAAUACCGCAUACGUCCUGAGGGAGAAAGUGGGGGAUCUUCGGACCUCACGCUAUCAGAUGAGCCUAGGUCGGAUUAGCUAGUUGGUGGGGUAAAGGCCUACCAAGGCGACGAUCCGUAACUGGUCUGAGAGGAUGAUCAGUCACACUGGAACUGAGACACGGUCCAGACUCCUACGGGAGGCAGCAGUGGGGAAUAUUGGACAAUGGGCGAAAGCCUGAUCCAGCCAUGCCGCGUGUGUGAAGAAGGUCUUCGGAUUGUAAAGCACUUUAAGUUGGGAGGAAGGGCAGUAAGUUAAUACCUUGCUGUUUUGACGUUACCAACAGAAUAAGCACCGGCUAACUUCGUGCCAGCAGCCGCGGUAAUACGAAGGGUGCAAGCGUUAAUCGGAAUUACUGGGCGUAAAGCGCGCGUAGGUGGUUCAGCAAGUUGGAUGUG
rnacentral:rRNA from 1 species